rnacentral:rRNA from 1 species
GGCUGUUCGCCCAUUAAAGAGGCACGCGAGCUGGGUUCAGAACGUCGUGAGACAGUUCGGUCCCUAUCCACCGUGGGCGCAGGAGAUUUGAGAGGAUCUGUCCUUAGUACGAGAGGACCGGGAUGGACAGACCGCUGGUGUACGAGUUGUUCCGCCAGGAGCAGAGCUCGAUAGCUACGUCUGGAAAGGAUAAGCGCUGAAGGCAUCUAAGCGCGAAGCCAACCUCAAGAUGAGAUCUCCUUGUCGCAAGAUGGAAGAGACCUUGUAGAAAAGAAGGUAGAUAGGUCAGGGGUGUAAGUGUGGCAACACAUUAAGCUGACUGAUACUAAUGACUCGAAAGCUUGACCA